rnacentral:rRNA from 1 species
GAUGAACGCUGGCGGCAUGCCUAAUACAUGCAAGUCGAACGAACAGACGAGGAGCUUGCUCCUCUGAGGUUAUCGGCGGACGGGAGAGUCACACGUGGAUAACCUACCUCUAAGACUGGGGUGACUUCGGGAAACCAGAUCUAAUACCGGAUAACAUAUUGCACCGCGUGGGUCACCAGUGGAAGUCGGUCUUGCUGUCGCUUAUAGAUGAAUCCGCGCCGCAUUAGCUAGUUGGUAAGGUAACGGCUUAGCCAGGCAACGAUGCGGAGCCGCCCCGAGAGGGUGAUCGGCCACCCGGGAACUGAGACACGGUCCAGACACCUACGGGAGGAAGCAGUCGGGAAUCUUCCGCAAUGGGGGAAAGCCUGACGGAGCAACGCCGCGGGAGUGAAGAAGGUCUUCGGAUCGGAAAACUCUGUAAGUAGGGAAGAACAAAUGUGUAAGUAACCAUGCACGUCUUGACGGUACCGAAAGAGAAAGCCACGGCUAACUACGUG